rnacentral:rRNA from 1 species
AGUGAACGCUGGCGGUAGGCCUAACACAUGCAAGUCGAACGGCAGCACAGUAAGAGCUUGCUCUUACGGGUGGCGAGUGGCGGACGGGUGAGGAAUACAUCGGAAUCUACUUUUUCGUGGGGGAUAACGUAGGGAAACUUACGCUAAUACCGCAUACGGCCUACGGGUGAAAGCAGGGGAUCUUCGGACCUUGCGCGAUUGAAUGAGCCGAUGUCGGAUUAGCUAGUUGGCGGGGUAAAGGCCCACCAAGGCGACGAUCCGUAGCUGGUCUGAGAGGAUGAUCAGCCACACUGGAACUGAGACACGGUCCAGACCCCUACGGGAGGCAGCAGUGGGGAAUAUUGGACAAUGGGCGCAAGCCUGAUCCAGCCAUACCGCGUGGGUGAAGAAGGCCUUCGGGUUGUAAAGCCCUUUUGUUGGGAAAGAAAAGCAGCAGGUUAAUACCCCGCUGUUCUGACGGUACCCAAAGAAUAAGCACCGGCUAACUUCGUG